CAGGAACCUGAAAACCUUACUUCUCGGGUUUCUCAUAUCAAAUUAAUUAGGAAAAGUAUUUGGAAGAUAAGUUCUUAUUUUUUGCCUUCAUGUUAGCAUUUCAAAACCUUCCCUAGAACCAGCUCUAGUGUUUUAAAGCAAAUGCCAUGUGGGAGGAGAGAAAUAGUGCUGAGCAAGAGCAGGAACAGCACGGGACGGCCGUCUGCCAGGUUCUGCCUCGUCAUCCUGAAAUCCAGUUCUGCGGGAGCCACUUCAUUGGGAGCUGCUGAAAGUCACUACCUCGGUGUAACUUUCUCCACCUUGGUGUUUUCUUCCUCGCCCAUGUGGUGCUCACUGCGCCUCCCCAGGACCAGCCCUUCUCUCCGCUGCUUGCCUCCUUCCCCUGGGACCAGUGGCAGCUUCCUCUCCACACUUGGCCGCUUGAACUGCCCUUCCUCCACGUUAGUCACAACUGCUGGGCCCGACAACUUCCGCAGGUGAACUCUGCUCUGCCAUACCCAGUCCGUCUGGGUUUGUUCAUUUCAUAGCAAUACCCGCUUUCUUUUACAAGCAGCCACGGCAGCAGGGCUGGCACAGGUCUUCUUCUUGCACGAGGCUUGCCCGGUCCCAGGUUUCCCUUUCGCUGGCCCUUGGACCCCUCCUGCACAUUGCCACUUUAUUGUCUGCACACACAAAAGCUGCCUCCUGUUUGCCUGUGAGCACCAGGCUUCGCAAGCUGCCCUGCCCUGCUGUUCUCCUUUAUCCCUCCUCUGCUUCUGAAAGCAUUUUUCUUCUCAGCUUAUCAGCGCCAGGAGGAGCUGACGGAGCUGAGCCCUUACUGUUUUCUAUGGCUGUGGUCUCACCCCCCUUCAACACCUGUCUCCUUCUGAAAUUAAUUCCAAAUCAAUCAAUAACCCAAUCAGAUAAGCCAUGUCCCUUGCUUUGCACACACAUUUAUCUCGCUCUGAAUAAUUUUCCAGCAAUGAGUCACCAGCCAUUUAGCCUAAUUUUGGGAACUCUUACAAUAGACCAGUCUGUUCCG
rnacentral:lncRNA from 1 species